rnacentral:misc_RNA from 1 species
CAACCCUCAAGCACUGCUUGGUAUUGGGCUUCGUCUGUAUUGACGGGCCUUAAAAUUAGUGGCGGUGCCAUUAGGCUCUAAGCGUAGUAAUUCUCUCGCUAUGGACGUCUGGUGGAUACUUGCCAGUAACCCCCAAUUUUUAAAGG